rnacentral:lncRNA from 1 species
CGGGUCCGUCUGACGACACAACUUCCGCAGCUACAACCGGCCCGUCCGACGGCACUGCUACUGGCCCGUCCGAUGCUGCCGCAACUUGAUCGACCCGCACUGCGUUCCUGUGAUCGUCCUCGAGGCGAGAAGUUGUCAGGGACGAGAUCAAGUCCAGACUCAUCGUGGAGAAGAAACCUUAAGCAUACAACCAUGCCGACAACCAUCCGUGAAGUGGACAAAGGGCUGGACAACGGGCCGCACUGAAAAAAACGCAUGGUUCCCAAGAAAGCGUUCUGACUUUCCGCUCUGACUUUGGCCACUGUCUCCAGUCCCACAUCUCAUCAGUCCUGCUACUCUGUCCUGGACCACCUACUCCACUGUGUCCCUGGCUUCCUGCAAUUCGCCCAAGCUUCCCCUGGCCUGCACCCCAUCUUCCACCUGUGUUUCAAUAAAUACCUUGGUUACCUCAUCCCAGUCUCCUCGUCUGAGUCUGCUCUUAGGGUUCACCUGUUCCGUUCCACGUGACAGUACGAUCUGGCCAAGACAUGAACCCAGCAAACUCAGAUCCUCUCCACCAAACCCUUCCAGCCAAGGCCCCCAG